GUAGGUGGCAAGCGUUGUCCGGAAUUAUUGGGCGUAAAGCGCGCGCAGGCGGUCCUUUAAGUCUGAUGUGAAAGCCCACGGCUCAACCGUGGAGGGUCAUUGGAAACUGGGGGACUUGAGUACAGAAGAGGAAAGCGGAAUUCCACGUGUAGCGGUGAAAUGCGUAGAGAUGUGGAGGAACACCAGUGGCGAAGGCGGCUUUCUGGUCUGUAACUGACGCUGAGGCGCGAAAGCGUGGGGAGCAAACAGGAUUAGAUACCCUGGUAGUCCACGCCGUAAACGAUGAGUGCUAAGUGUUAGGGGGUUUCCGCCCCCCUUAGUGCUGCAGCUAACGCAUUAAGCACUCCGCCUGGGAUACGGCCGCAAGGCUG
rnacentral:rRNA from 1 species